rnacentral:rRNA from 1 species
AUUGAACGCUGGCGGCAUGCCUUACACAUGCAAGUCGAACGGCAGCACGGGGGCAACCCUGGUGGCGAGUGGCGAACGGGUGAGUAAUACAUCGGAACGUGUCCUGUAGUGGGGGAUAGCCCGGCGAAAGCCGGAUUAAUACCGCAUACGCUCUACGGAGGAAAGGGGGGGAUCUUAGGACCUCCCGCUACAGGGGCGGCCGAUGGCAGAUUAGCUAGUUGGUGGGGUAAAGGCCUACCAAGGCGACGAUCUGUAGCUGGUCUGAGAGGACGGCCAGCCACACUGGGACUGAGACACGGCCCAGACUCCUACGGGAGGCAGCAGUGGGGAAUUUUGGACAAUGGGCGAAAGCCUGAUCCAGCAAUGCCGCGUGUGUGAAGAAGGCCUUCGGGUUGUAAAGCACUUUUGUCCGGAAAGAAAAACGCCGUGGUUAA